rnacentral:snRNA from 1 species
GUUCAUUCCUGAGCAUAUACUAAAACUGAAACAAUACAGAGAAGAUUCGCGUGGCCCCUGCGCAAGGAUGACACGCAAAUUCGUGGAGCAAUUUGCGCAUAU